rnacentral:misc_RNA from 1 species
AAAAAAACCUACUCUUAUAGCUGCAGGAGGAAUCCUUCCCUGAGGGAAUGAAGAUAGAUCGCAAUCAAUUCAGCUCGGGCCCCGUUGCUCGUAACUAGGAGGUGGCACCUUUACAGAGCAAUCAAGCGGUGUGUAUUCAGGGUGAACCAAAGGAAUCGAUGGUGAACUCCUGUCUUGACCCACGCCCUGGGAGGAAUUCCUUUUUAGA